GGAACUGGGGAUCCUACCUUGAUCGAGGUCACCUGGUUAAGAUUGAUGGUGUUCGCCGGCGGGCGCCGGCCGGGCCUACAGAGCGGGUGACGAAGCCCCAUACGCUCGAGGACCGGACGCGGUGCCGCCGCUGCCUUUCGGGCCCGCCCCCCGGAAGCGGGGGGCGAGAGCCCAACACACAAGCCGUGCUUGAGGGCAGCAAUGACGCUCGGACAGGCAUGCCCCCCGGAAUACCAGGGGGCGCAAUGUGCGUUCAAAGACUCGAUGAUUCACUGAAUUCUGCAAUUCACAUUACUUAUCGCAUUUCGCUGCGUUCUUCAUCGAUGCCGGAACCAAGAGAUCCGUUGUUGAAAGUUUUAACUGAUUUAGUCAAGUACUCAGACUGCAAUCUUCAGACAAGAGUUCGUUUGUGUGUCUUCGGCGGGCGCGGGCCCGGGGGCGGAUGCCCCCCGGCGGCCGUGAGGCGGGCCCGCCGAAGCAACAAGGUACGAUAAACACGGGUGGGGAGGUUGGACCCAGAGGGCCCUCACUCGGUAAUGAUCCUUCCGCAGGUCACCACUACCGAACCCCCGG
rnacentral:misc_RNA from 1 species